GUAGUCUGGGUUCCCGACCCAGUCCUCAGUAACACUUGGAUCUUUUCUGUCUCCCUCUCUGCAGGGGCUUGCACAGCUCUGCACACCCAGCAGACACUGAUGACUGCUACCCAGUUCCAGCUAUUUAGAACAUUGGAAUUGAAACUCUUGAUUUGUGCUUUCUUGCUUUAUCACAGAUCAAAGGAAUUCAAGGAGUUCACCCACGUAUAUCAAGCACCUAGAAAAGUGUCAGGCACAUGGGAAGUGCUCAAUAAACGUUUGCUGAAGGAAUGUCCAAGGUCUGGUGAGGAGUGGAGGAGGAGGUGCGAAGAAGAUGGCCAGCUUGCUCCCUGCGUGUACCUCGGCCAGCCACGUGGAAGAAGCCAAGCGAAGGGCUGUGGGGACCUAGAAGAUGGAGUCAUCAAACAAUGGAAGAAUCCCAGAUCUUCAAGUCACUGUUUGGACAAGAACCUACCAUGACAUGUGCCUGAACUUCGUGUGAGUGAGAAACAAACUUUUAUUGUUAAGCCACUGACUCUUUGGGUUGGUUUUUAUAGUAGCUGGUGUUGCUUAUACUGACUAAUACAUCUUGGAAGUAAAUGAUGCAAAAUAAUUCUAAAUAUUUACAGGGGAUGAUAUUUAUAAGGGAAAAUAAUAAUAGGGUGAUGCCAAUGUGGUGUCCUGAGAAGGAAGCACCAACAAGGAAGGGGCCCGAGGUAGGGAAGGGCAACUGUUCUGAGAGGCUGCUAAUCACAACCAACCUGCUGGCACCACGUCCUGUUCCCAAGUCCUCUGCUCAGCGUGCAGCCCCAGCAGCCUGACGUUGUCUGCGUGUAGACCCUCCAGCAUGACCCUAUAAAAUUUCCCUCCAGCCACCGCCUCUUGGCAGACAGUCCUUUCUCUGCUGUGCAGCCCACUGCUUUCUUACAAUGUAUCUUUCUACUUCCUCUAAUAAAUCUGCCUUUCUUUACCCA
rnacentral:lncRNA from 1 species